AUGAGCCCAUCAGCUCCUACCCAGUGCAUUCCCCAAACUGCAUUCUACUUGCCAGCCUUAGUUCCAUUGCUUUAUUACAAUUAUUUUGCUGGUGCCCCUCAAACUGCAUUCUACUUGCAAGUGCAAAACCUAGUCCUCUUGCUUAGACCUUCAUAUGGAGCCUUCUCCGUACUUGUCGUUUGCCGUCCCAUAUCUUUCUUUUUCGCUGGAGCCAGCAGUCCUUCCAACCUGUUGCUUGUCCUCGAAACCGAAUCAUUGUCAGAUAAAACAACAGUAGCUGCUUUGACGUUCAUGUUUUGUUCCGCCGAAACCAGCUCCAUGGGGGUCUGA
rnacentral:rRNA from 1 species